rnacentral:rRNA from 1 species
GACGAACGCUGGCGGCGUGCUUAACACAUGCAAGUCGAACGGAAAGGCCUGCUUUCCCUUGUGGAUUGCGGGUACUCGAGUGGCGAACGGGUGAGUAACACGUGAGUGAUCUGCCCCCAACUUGGGUAUAAGCCUGGGAAACUGGGUCUAAUUCCCGAUAGGACUGCAGGGUGGUGCCUGUGGUGGAAAACGAUUUUCUAGUGGUUGGGGAUGAGCUCGCGGCCUAUCAGCUUGUUGGUGGGGUAAUGGCCUACCAAGGCGGCGACGGGUAGCCGGCCUGAGAGGGUGGACGGCCACAUUGGGACUGAGAUCCGGCCCAGACUCCUACGGGAGGCAGCAGUGGGGAAUAUUGCACCAUGGGCGGAAGCCUGAUGCAGCGACGCCGCGUGGGGGAUGACGGCCUUCGGGUUGUAAACUCCUUUCGACCGCGAGGAAGCCACCUGGUUGGAAGGGUGGUGACGGUAGUGGUAGAAGAAGCACCGGCUAACUACGUG